rnacentral:rRNA from 1 species
UACGUAGGUGGCGAGCGUUGUCCGGAUUUAUUGGGUUUAAAGGGUGCGUAGGCGGUGACUUAAGUCAGUGGUGAAAUACGGCAGCUCAACUGUCGAGGUGCCAUUGAUACUGGGUUACUUGAGUACUGAUGAGGUAGGCGGAAUGGACGGUGUAGCGGUGAAAUGCUUAGAUAUCGUCCAGAACACCGAUAGCGAAGGCAGCUUACUAAGGAGUAACUGACGCUGAUGCACGAAAGUGUGGGGAUCAAACAGG